UUAAUUCAUUUAUCAAAUUGUUCAUAUGUGACAAUUGUCAAUUCUAAUUGACGAAUUAACCUGAAUAACGCUGUACAUAUAAUAUGCACUGUCAAGUCCUUGCAUUCGGCAGACUGUCUGCUGUACGUUGUGUUGAGGACAAAGUUCCGCUAGGUGGCAGCACCGUGGCUCUCGAAAUACCAAAGAACGGAACAGACCAGAACGAAUAAAGAUACAAGAGAAGAUAGUAACGAGCUCGAAUCCUAAUUUAUUGUCAAUAGUAUCGAAUGCCUGACUGCAACAUUUCACAAUAUACCGCAACGAGAAAUUAUUUUGCAGCAGCACCAUAAUAACUGUGGCGGCCCAUUAAGUCGACAGGAAUCCCUCUGGCUGUAUAGUGCCACAGUAAGAGUCCAGGCUCCGUUAUUUCCUAUAUAAUUUUCAAUUUCGGACUCCAACCAAGUACAAAGAACUCUAAAAUGACGACUCUGCCACUUUUCACAUACAAUUCAUUCCUCGGAACGAAGCACGCAAUUCAAUCGUAAUGCCAGCAUCUUACCUAUUGAACGAAACAGCAGGAAGCAGUUCCUGCAUCUAUCUAACAUCCAUGAUGAUUCUGAGCUAGGAAUGGACUAGCUGUUCGUAGUAAGCCAGAGACGAGAUAUGGGUCACUUCCGUUAAUUAUGUAUUAUGAUACGGAUACACGGAGAGACGGUAAUGGCAGUUAACACGUAUACCGGCAGAGUCGAAGAAGUUCCCAGGACCUCGGCGAGAACCUUACUGAGAUUUUUGUAUUAUCACUCAGCUACCGCGAGUCUGAUUGGACGUCAAACGCCAGGAGCUACGUGCUAAUUAACAAUUGGCUAAUUUGAUACUAAUUUAUCAAGAGACGACUCACCCGGCAGCUUGAUUGUGGAUUCCUUGAAAAUUAAGGGAAAACCAUGUGCAUCUCUUACUAUGUUAAUUCGUCUGGAUUUGAAUGGAUUUUUGAUUUAAUUGAGAAUAUCGUUACAAACAUGCAUUUCAAUAUUCACCUAUCAUUUAACAUGUAUGAAGCGGACGGGACUACCAAGGUUCACCUAUCGCGAACGUAUUUAAACAUUUUUUAUGUAAUUUUGAUAACAACCCUCCUCCUUUCCCUAUACUCAAGAUACGUGAGACGUAAUCAUCAAAUUUAAUUAUCUGAUAAUAAACAUUGAUUUUUCCUACCUAAAUACCCAAUAAAAGGUGUAUUUUUAUAAAAAUCCGGAUACCAUAUUCUUAUCAGGUAUAGGUAUGUGAU